rnacentral:rRNA from 1 species
UACGUAGGCAGCAAGCGUUGUUCGGAGUUACUGGGCGUAAAGGGUGUGUAGGCGGCUUUGCAAGUCGGGUGUGAAAUCCCUCAGCUCAACUGAGGAAGUGCGCCCGAAACUGCUUAGCUUGAGUGCCGGAGAGGAUGGCGGAAUUCCCCAAGUAGAGGUGAAAUUCGUAGAUAUGGGGAGGAACACCCGUGGCGAAGGCGGCUCUCUGGGACGGUAUUGACGCUGAGACGCGAAAGCGUGGGGAGCGAACAGG